rnacentral:rRNA from 1 species
GUCUACGACCACACCACCCGGAAAACACCGGUUCUCGUCUGAUCACCGAAGUUAAGCCUGGUCGGGCGAAGUUAGUACUUGGAUGGGUGACCGCCUGGGAAUACUUCGUGUUGUAGACU